rnacentral:tRNA from 1 species
GCCGGAGUGGUGAAAUGGCAGACACGCAGGAUUUAGGAUCCUGUGCCGCAAGGCGUGGAGGUUCAAGUCCUCUCUCCGGCACCA